rnacentral:rRNA from 1 species
CUACGGGCUGCUCCAGGCGAGAAAACUUUGCAAUGUGCGAAAGCACGACAAGGUUAAUCCGAGUGGUUUGUGCUAAACGAACCUUUUGACAGUCCUAGAAACACUGUUGAAUAAGGGGUGGGCAAGUUCUGGUGUCAGCCGCCGCGGUAAAACCAGCACCUCAAGUGGUCAGGAUGAUUAUUGGGCCUAAAGCAUCCGUAGCCGGCUCUGUAAGUUUUCGGUUAAAUCUGUACGCUCAACGUACAGGCUGCCGGGAAUACUGCAGAGCUAGGGCGUGGGAGAGGUAGACGGUACUCGGUAGGAAGGGGUAAAAUCCUUUGAUCUAUUGAUGACCACCUGUGGCGAAGGCGGUCUACCAGAACACGUCCGACGGUGAGGGAUGAAAGCUGGGGGAGCAAACCGGAUUAGAUACCCCGGUAGUC